CAGUCGCCACGGGAAUACGUAGGUGGCAAGCGUUGUCCGGAAUUAUUGGGCGUAAAGGGCUCGCAGGCGGUUUCUUAAGUCUGAUGUGAAAGCCCCCGGCUCAACCGGGGAGGGUCAUUGGAAACUGGGAAACUUGAGUGCAGAAGAGGAGAGUGGAAUUCCACGUGUAGCGGUGAAAUGCGUAGAGAUGUGGAGGAACACCAGCGGCGAAGGCGACUCUCUGGUCUGUAACUGACGCUGAGGAGCGAAAGCGUGGGGAGCGAACAGGAUUAGAUACCCCUGUAGUCCCUGUCUCUUAUAC
rnacentral:rRNA from 1 species